CUUCACAUGUACGAAAAUGCAGCAGUGACGCAACUCCUGGUGGAUGAAGCACUAGAAGUUGAAGGAAGAAGAUUGCUGCACAUGCGGGAGACAGAUUCAAGGAAGGAUUUAUGUCUUUCGCAAGCACCCCAGGCCUCCAUACACUAAGUGGGGAUGUCAUCUUCAGAGGUGUUUGCUAAAUAUCAAAGAAAAAAAGUUACCUGCGCUCUCUCCCAAAUCCCUAUGUAUAUUUAAACAAAUCAAGGUUAUUUAGUUACUCCAACGGCCAUUGGAGUGAAUGCCCAC